GCUCUUCCGGUCUGGCGGCUCUGGGAAGGGAGGCGGACUUUUACUUUUCCCUUAACAUCUUCAAAGUUUUUUAACUUUGUCAUGAAGUGUAUUACUUUUAUU